UCUAAUGUGGCAGACUAAUGCAAUGAAUUUAAAAUUCACACAUAAAUAAAUUUAUUUCUUUAGAA
rnacentral:tRNA from 1 species